UACAGAGGGUGCAAGCGUUAAUCGGAAUUACUGGGCGUAAAGGGCGCGUAGGCGGAUAUUUAAGUUAGAUGUGAAAUCCCUGGGCUUAACCUAGGAACUGCAUUUAAAACUGGGUAUCUAGAGUAUUGUAGAGGGUAGUGGAAUUUCCGGUGUAGCGGUGAAAUGCGUAGAGAUCGGAAGGAACACCAGUGGCGAAGGCGGCUACCUGGACAAAUACUGACGCUGAGGCGCGAAAGCGUGGGGAGCAAACAGG
rnacentral:rRNA from 1 species